GAGUUUAGCGUCCAGGCCGGGUGCGCGGAGCGGCGCCGCGCGGAACAGUCGCGCUAAACCUGCUCCCGCGGGAGCUCUGGCUCUCAAAACUCACAGAGCUCUUUGCCAGGAAGGGCUUUGCCUCUCUUUGCGUCAGCCCCCAAACACAGCGCUUUGGACGUGGUGACCCGCUGCUCAUUUGGAAAUGUCCUUCGCAAACAGCGUCGUGAGGCGGAUUUGGCUUUGGGGAAAGUGUAGGCUGGUAUUUGGGAAAGGUUUACUUUCCUAUUACUAAAGAUAUCUGUGCCACUGUGUGAGCGCAUCCGUGGUCGGGGGUGGCGGGCAGAGAGAUGGACGAACUACUCACAUACUAACUUGAAUGGGGGAUUAACUACCUAUGCCAAGUACUUAGUCCAUUAGUCCAUGGAAAGGAAGCUACACAUCCAAAUUUAGGCUUUACUAGUAUUUGGGAAUUUUCCUUAAGGCAACUGAAACCUUGUGACUCACAUCAAACUCAAAACACCACCCUACAAUGAAUUGAUAGGGCUUUGUAGCAGAGGCACCCUUCAUCUCUAUCUCCAGACCAGCAAAAGAUAUUACAGGAUUCAGAAUCUUUUUUUUUUUUUUAAUUUGGGCAAUACUUUCAGUGUUUGUUUCAGCUUAAUUUCAUCUUCAUAAAUAUAGUUUGUCCAAGUGUAAAGUACAAACUUGUUUCCCACUUCUAUUUCCUUCUCACUCCGACUUCCUUCUGAUUUUAUCUUAUUUAUUCCUGGAAAAGCACUUCCUAGAAUAAGAUCAGCCCUUUCCUUUCUUUACUGAAACUGACGCUACUUGCACAUGAUUUGCGUUUGUCAAGAUGGCCUUGGCUUUAGCGACUCAAUCUCUAGCUCUUUCAUGGGAUCAUGGAUGCAAGUGGCAUAGAAUAUUUUUCAAGUUUUCUUUCUUUGAAGCUGCUAAAACCAUCGAAGGGAACCCACACAUCCCACCCACCUCGGGCAAGGGGCCUCUCCUGGCCAUGUCUCCUGCAGCCGCUGCUGAGCCAGACGGGGUCCGGGGAGACAGGCAUGUCAGCAAGCUCAUUUUCUUCCUUUUUGUCAUCGGUGCCAUCCUGCUGUGCGUGGGAGUCCUGCUCUCCAUCUUUGGGUUCCAGGCAUGCCAGUAUAAAACCUUCCCAGACUGCAGCAUGAUGCUGAAGAUUGCUGGACCCACGUGUGCCGUGGUUGGGCUGGGGGCUGUGAUCCUGGCCCGCUCCCGGGCACGACUUCAGCAAACUGAGGAGCGCCUGCGAGGCAACAACCAGGGGGACUCCGACCGGCCCUUCCUCUGUGGGGAGAGCCGCCAGUUUGUCCAGUGUCUCAUCUUUGGGUUUCUGUUCCUGACGAGCGGUAUGCUCAUCAGCGUACUGGGCAUUUGGGUACCUGGGUGUGGCUCAGACUGGAUGCAGGAAUCACUGAAUGAGACAGACACAGCUGACUCAGAGCCCCAGAUCUGUGGAUUCCUGUCCCUUCAGAUCUUGGGUCCCUUGAUUGUGCUUGUGGGAUUGUGUUUCUUCGUGGUCGCCCACGUUAAGAAGAGAAGCAAUUUGAAUGGGGACCAGGAUGCUUCUGAAAGUGAAGAGAGACAAACCCAGAGCCUGGAGCCCAUCCAGGUGACUGUAGGUGACGCCGUGAUCAUAUUCCCACCCCCUCCACCACCUUACUUUCCUGAGUCUUCAGCUUCUGCAGCUGCCCGGAGUCCUGGGACUGACAGUGUGCCCCCAAAUGAAAGCCCACCUUCAUAUUACAGUAUUUUUCAAUCUGGAGGGAUGCCAUUGAAGGCUGAGGAGUUACAGCAACGGAAUGCAAGCAGUGGUUAGCUCAGCUCCGACUGGGGAAAGGCUGAGGGCGGCCAGACCAUUUAGGAGGCUGACUCAUGAUCGUGGACAGGCUGGAGGUCCCCAACUCCUGAGGGCCAAGGCGCGGCCUCUGAGAGAGAUUGUGAAUUGAUAUAUACUAUUUCUGGGACCGCUUCAUCCUCUGAGACCUCCCACACGCUCCAUCUCUUAUCUGAACUGCCUCCCAGAUAUGAAGAAAAAGAAACUGCCACUACCACAUCCUUGUCUCCAUCUUCUGAGCCUUCCCCACCAUGAACCAUGGACUCAAGUUCAAUUUUAUAUAGAA